rnacentral:rRNA from 1 species
ACGGGAGGCAGCAGUGGGGGAUAUUGCACAGUGGAGGAAACUCUGAUGCAGCAACGCCGCGUGAGGGAAGAAGGUUUUCGGAUUGUAAACCUCUGUUUUCGGUGAAGAAACAAAUGACGGUAGCCGAAGAGGAAGCCACGGCUAACUACGUGCCAGCAGCCGCGGUAAUACGUAGGUGGCAAGCGUUGUCCGGAUUUACUGGGUGUAAAGGGUGCGCAGGCGGGACUGCAAGUUGGAUGUGAAAUACCGGGGCUCAACCCCGGAGCUGCAUCCAAAACUGUGGUUCUUGAGUGGAGUAGAGGUAAGCGGAAUUCCGAGUGUAGCGGUGAAAUGCGUAGAUAUUCGGAGGAAUACCAGUGGCGAAGGCGGCUUACUGGGCUCUAACUGACGCUGAGGCACGAAAGCAUGGGUAGCAAACAGGAUUAGAUACCCUGUA